rnacentral:lncRNA from 1 species
AAAACCCUCACAUAUCCUAAGCUUCUUCUUGACCCUUCAGCAUACAAAAGACCUCGAUACUUACACCCUUAAUUGCUCCAAGAAGCAUCCACACCUUAAGAUAAUGAAAGGGAAGUUUCAACGCCUCACCCCCAAUUCCCUAAGAAUCAAAUAUUCUCCCAAAAAGAACAGACACCUAAUUCCAAAAAAGCAACAGGUGCAAAUUCCAUGAAAGAAACAUACAUCAAAAAAUGUUUCUGUUGUUUUUUCAUUGUGAUAAUUAAGGCUUUUUGGAGAAGCAACUACUAUGCUUAGAAUAAGAGCUAAGCUCCUUAGAACUGCAAGAAUUGGUUACUCUCUUUUUGGUUCAUCACAACUGCCACCCAAUAUUUUUCUCUAUUAAUAAUAAUAUUAACACUAGUUUCAAGACCAACCCAGUUGCUCUUCAGAUGAUCAAUUACGCUCUUUCCCUUGCCCGUGCCCAAAAAUCAAGAUCCCCUCGUUGCCUUUCGCAUCCUUCCACAUUUUUUGGUGCCGAUUUGAAGUUUGUUCAUGAUCCCGUUUGUUUUUUAGUCUUGGAGUUGUCGAAAAAUCACGUCCAAACUCGUGAUUUGAGGUCAGAUUCUUACAUUUGCCUUUUUCUAACAUUCUGUGUAUGAACAUUUAAGGAAAUUGAGUCAUUUGCUUGACAUUAGCAGUGUAUUCAUUUGGUUGACACUCCUAUUUCUUUCAUAUACCGUUUUCAUUAUAUUUAAAAGAUUAAUGUUAGAUUAUUAGCUUACUCUUUAUUAAACUUGAUUAAGAAGAAAAAAAGAAUGCUAGUUUACUAAUAGCUUCAAAUUAGUGAUUUGUUCGAAUAUUGUUGCUUAAUUGAUGAAUGGGUUGUAGGGAUUGUUUAAUUUAUGUAACGACCUAGGCGGUCAUUUUAAGAUUUUACGCCCCGAUCCCCUAUUAACUGCAUUCCCCGGGCUUGUUUCUGCUAUUGUAAAUUGUAGAGAAAGUACGUUUUGGAUUUUGGAUUGUUUUGGGACACUUAGUCGCUAAAUGAGAGUUUAAGCUUUAGAAUUUUGACCGUAGUCGGAGCAGUGUGAAGACAACCUCUGAAUAGAAUUUUGUUAGUUUCGUUAGCUCCGUGCUUAGGGGCGUAUUCGGAUUGAGUUUUUGAGGUCCGUAGCUUAUUUAGGCUUGAAAUUCCAAAAGUUGAAUUUUUGAAGUUUUCGAUUCGAUAAUGAGAUUUUUAUCUAGGAUUCGGAAUGGAAUUCCGGUAGUUGGAGUAACUCUGAGUGUUGAAUGUGACGUGUGUGCAAAUUUUAGGUCAUUCGGACAAGGUUUGAUAGGCUUUUUGAUCGAAAGUGAAAUAUGGAAGUCUUGUAUAUCCUUAGGCCUUGAUUGGAGAGCAAUUUGUGGUUUUAGCGUUGUUUGUUGUGUUUCGAGGCUUGGAAUAAGUUCGUAUGUUGUUUUAGGAUUGGUUGGUUGUUUGGUUGAGGUCCCGAAGGCCUCAGGUGAGUAUUGGGUGCUUAACAAAAGUUGAAUUGUACUUAGGGGAAAUCUGAAAUUGGCUGAACCUGUCAUAUCCGCACAUGCGAGUGUGGGACCGCAGGUGUAGCACCGCAGAAGCGGCUUAAUGACCGUAGGAGAAGAUUUUGGCCUAGGCUCCAUAAGCCGCAAGUGCGAGAAGGUGAAUGCACUUGUGAGACCGUAGGUGCGGUAAGGGAGUCGUAGGUGUGGAAUUGUAGUUUAAUGAAAAUUCCUUGUAGGUUAGGUGACAAGUGUGUACUUGUACUAAUUAUUGAAUUUUUGUUUCAUUAAGUAACUAUAACUGUGUUCCGUUCCCUGUUUAUACUACUUGCAAUUUAAGCCUACUGCUAGCUUCGGGACGCAUGCCUAAUUGACUUAAUUGUCGUACUAGCUAAAACUACUAUAACUGAACUUUGUGGAACAUGCAAGGCUAGAAAUAAUUGUUUUACCUUGGUAUGAAAUUUGGAGUGAAUUGCAUAUUCUUCGUGUCACUACUUUUUUUUACUUUGGGACUACAGGAUGGUAUCCUGGGAGAUCCCCUGCAUGUUUACUCUGAGACUACGAAUUUGUAUUCCUGUAGAUACCCCUAAACAUUUAUAUUAGAACUAUGAGACUGCACCCGGUAGAUUCCCCCGUACUAGGUAUUUACAUUUUGAAUUACAGAUCAGUAUUCUGAUAGAUCUACGCGCAUUAGUUGGACUAUGGGACAACAUCCGGGAGAUCCACUGGAUAUUUACAUUUGGGGACUACAGAAAGGUAUCAUGGGAGAUCCCUGGUUGCUAUUUCUGCCUCGAGUUAUAUUCUCUCUGUGUUUUCUCUCUCUAUUGUAGUUGUUGUUAUUCUUAUUAUCUUGUGUUACUUCAUACAAUUAGCACUUAAUUAUAUUGUCGUAUUCUAUACUGUUUUACCUUGUUUUUAAUCUAAAAUCAGUAGGCCGUUGACUUUCCUCGUCCCUACCCGACCGAGGUUAGGCUUGGCACUUACUAAGUACCAUUGUGGUGUACUCAUGCCCUUCAUGCAUAUGUUUUUCAUGUGCAGACCCAAGUUCUUUGGCUCAGCCCUAUCAUCCUUGAGGUGAAGCGAUUCUCUCGAGACUUUGAGGUAUAUCUGCCGCGUCUGCAGACCGAGGAGUCUAUCUCCAUUCUCUCUAGUAGUUAUUUCCCUUAUGUUUUUACUUUGAUUUAGAUAUUCUAGAGUUAGAGAACUAUGUAAUAUGCAUAGCUUGUGAUUUCAUGAAAUUCCAGGUUUCAAAAUGUUGUUCAGCUUUUUAUAUCAUGUAUCGGCAUAUGCCGAGCGGCAUCUUAAACGCAUCUAUAUUUGUUUAUCUUCAAUUUUAUUAGUUUUCCG